rnacentral:rRNA from 1 species
GGUGGAGCAUGUGGUUUAAUUCGAUGCAACGCGAAGAACCUUACCUACUCUUGACAUCCAGAGAAGCCAGCGGAGACGCAGGUGUGCCUUCGGGAGCUCUGAGACAGGUGCUGCAUGGCUGUCGUCAGCUCGUGUUGUGAAAUGUUGGGUUAAGUCCCGCAACGAGCGCAACCCUUAUCCUUGUUUGCCAGCGAGUAAUGUCGGGAACUCCAGGGAGACUGCCGGUGAUAAACCGGAGGAAGGUGGGGACGACGUCAAGUCAUCAUGGCCCUUACGAGUAGGGCUACACACGUGCUACAAUGGCGCAUACAGAGGGCAGCAAGCUAGCGAUAGUGAGCGAAUCCCAAAAAGUGCGUCGUAGUCCGGAUUGGAGUCUGCAACUCGACUCCAUGAAGUCGGAAUCGCUAGUAAUCGUGAAUCAGAAUGUCACGGUGAAUACGUUCCCGGGCCUUGUACACACCGCCCGUCACACCAUGGGAGUGGGCUGCAAAAGAAGUGGGUAGUUUAACCUUUCGGGGAGGACGCUCACCACUUUGUGGUUCAUGACUGGGGUG